CCACACUCAGCUCAGCUCUCUGAAGAUUUGAUCAUAGAAAUUUUCCAGUAAACUUGAAAAAAUAAAAGAAAAAAACUAAACUUCCUAUAACAAACACUGUACAAGGAGAGGUAAAGUAUUAAAGACACUUUGUUGUGUUGAAGAAGAAGCAUGAUAAGUAGAAUUUUGAAAUAAGAGAAAAAGGUGGAAUGGCCAAGAGGAAGAGGUCUUCUGAUUUUAAAGACUAAAGAAAAUCUUGCUGAAAUUAGAUAGCCUAAUGAAAAGGAGAACCCUCCUAGUUUGAGGUAUUGCAUCCCUGAACUCAGAUUUCUAUUUUAAUUAGAUGCUGUGUUUCUGCAGGGAUGAAGGCCCCAUGGAAGAAUUCUCACAGGGAGGCAGAUGCUGUUGGAAGGAGAGAGCCUGGAAUGUCCGUAGUGGUCAAGAGAAAUGUAAUCCAAGAACACUCGAGAGUAACAACUGCACAGUUUCCUGGGGAAAUUUAAGACAUGUCAGCACAAAUCUAGACUGAGACUGACUCAUUCGGCAGGAAGAAUAUGUCUACAUGCCAGAGUACCCACCUGAUCUCAGCUCACUGCAACCUCUGCCUCCCGG
rnacentral:lncRNA from 1 species